rnacentral:rRNA from 1 species
CAGUCGCCGCGGUAAUACGAAGGGUGCAAGCGUUAAUCGGAAUUACUGGGCGUAAAGCGUGCGUAGGCGGUUUGUUAAGUUUGUUGUGAAAUCCCCGGGCUCAACCUGGGAAUGGCAAUGGAUACUGGCAAGCUAGAGUGUGUCAGAGGAUGGUGGAAUUCCCGGUGUAGCGGUGAAAUGCGUAGAGAUCGGGAGGAACAUCAGUGGCGAAGGCGGCCAUCUGGGACAACACUGACGCUGAGGCACGAAAGCGUGGGGAGCAAACAGGAUUAGAUACCCGUGUAGUCCCUGUCUCUUAUAC